AUCUAGCCGACGAGUCCCAAAUAGGACGAAAUGCGCAUCCUGGAU
rnacentral:hammerhead_ribozyme from 1 species